rnacentral:rRNA from 1 species
AUUGAACGCUGGCGGCAGGCCUAACACAUGCAAGUCGAACGAGUGGCGGACGGGUGAGUAAUGUCUGUGAAAAUGCCCGAUGUAGGGGGAUAACUACUCGAAACGGUAGCUAAUACCCCAUACCACCUGAUGUGCCCACAUGGGAGUAGCUUGUAGGUGAGGUAACGGCUCACCUGGGCGACGAUCCCUAGCUGGUCUGCGAGGAUGACGGGAAACACUGGAACGGAGACACGGUGCAGAGGCCUACGGGAGGAAGGAGUGGGGAAUAUUGCACAAUGGGGGCAAGCCUGAUGCAGACAUGCCGCGUGUAGGAAGAAGGCCUGAGGGUUGUAAAGUACUUUCAGCGAGGAGGCGUUACUCGAAGAAGAAGCACCGGCUAACUCCGUGCCAGCAGCCGCGGUAAUAC